GAUGAAGAACGUAGCGAAAUGCGAUACGUAAUGUGGAUUGCAGAAUUCAGUGAAUCAUCGAGUCUUUGAACGCACAUUGCGCCCUCUGGUAUUCCGGAGGGCAUGCCUGUCCGAGCGUCAUUGCUGCCCUCAAGCACGGCUUGUGUGUUGGGCCCCGCCCCCCGAUCCCGGGGGGCGGGCCCGAAAGGCAGCGGCGGCACCGCGUCCGGUCCUCGAGCGUAUGGGGCUUUGUCACCCGCUCUGUAGGCCCGGCCGGCGCUUGCCGAUCAACCAAACUUUUUUCCAGGUUGACCUCGGAUCAGGUAGGGAUACCCGCUGAACUUAAGCAUAUCAAUAAGCGGAGGA
rnacentral:misc_RNA from 1 species